rnacentral:rRNA from 1 species
UACGUAGGGUGCAAGCGUUGUCCGGAAUUAUUGGGCGUAAAGAGCUCGUAGGCGGUCUGUCGCGUCGGACGUGAAAACCCAGGGCUCAACCCUGGGCCUGCGUUCGAUACGGGCAGACUAGAGUUCGGUAGGGGAGACUGGAAUUCCUGGUGUAGCGGUGAAAUGCGCAGAUAUCAGGAGGAACACCGGUGGCGAAGGCGGGUCUCUGGGCCGAAACUGACGCUGAGGAGCGAAAGCGUGGGGAGCGAACAGG